rnacentral:rRNA from 1 species
GAUUUCUGGUUCGGCGCACUUGGCCCGUCUCGGUUUACGGGACUGCGUGCCGGUGUGCGCCAUCCAUCCUUCGAGUGAACGCUUCUACCCUUCACUGGGUUGGGAGUGCUGAUCUCGAUCUUUUACUUUGAAAAAAUUAGAGUGUUUAAAGCAGGCUUGCGCUAUGAAUACAUUAGCAUGGAAUAAUAAUUUAGGACUUUGGUCUUAUUUUGUUGGUUUCUAGGACUGAAGUAAUGAUUGAUAGGGACAGUUGGGGGUGCUAGUAUUCAGCGGCCAGAGGUGAAAUUCUUGGAUUCGCUGAAGACUAACUUAUGCGAAAGCAUU